AUGCGAGCGUUAUCCGGAUUUAUUGGGUUUAAAGGGAGCGUAGGUGGGAUAUUAAGUCAGCUGUGAAAGUUUGGGGCCCAACCUUAAAAUUGCAGUUGAUACUGGUUUCCUUGAGUACGGUACAGGUGGGCGGAAUUCGUGGUGUAGCGGUGAAAUGCUUAGAUAUCACGAAGAACUCCGAUCGCGAAGGCAGCUCACCGGGCCGGAACUGACACUGAUGCUCGAAAGUGCGGGUAUC
rnacentral:rRNA from 1 species